CCCUGUUCCUGCGGCAAAAGUUAAACUCUUCAUCUUCAAAACGAGAAACAAGGCUGCAUCUUAAAUAACCACCGGCCUCACCCGGGAGGGCCCCCUGGCUGCGCUCCAGCCCCCGUCCGGAUCAGCAGGACAUCAGUGUAUGUCUUGGACCCCCUUCAUACACGUGGAAAUUCUGCCCCCUUGAAGACACCUGGCAGGCUUACGCUCUGCAGCUCCAAGUCCAA